GCCCUGCCCACCAGCUUCCCCUGAUAACAUGUGCACCAAAGGCCAUGGAACCAACUGCAUUUCAGCAGCACCUCCCAGAGGUGGCCCUAGAAGACAGAGCUUCUGGAGGGACAUUUUUCAACCAAGGCUUUGGGGGCGAGGAGAAGUCAGAGGUUUGGAUCUGCAGCGACCCUGGAUACGGGCAAGUGGCUUAGAAGGAAGUAAGGACACUGAGAUUAUUCUUUUCCAAUGGGUGGAAGACACUGGAGUGCUAGCUCGCCUUGUGUUGCAACAUUGGAUGCUUACGCCUACCUUUAGUAGCCUUGUACUCUCCCUUCAAAAAUCACUUGGGGGAGUCCUGGGGGUGGAGCCUGAAGACAAAGGAGCUAAGCUGGUAAUAUGA
rnacentral:lncRNA from 1 species